ACACUAUUUACACACGUUAUGUAUAAGUACAGUAUGUACAUGUUUUAUUUACUAUAACUAUACAACUAAGCUGGUAUUGUGUCCAAACAGCUCAGUGGUCCUCAUACACUGCAUGACAAGUCACACAGUAGAUGACGCUACGAGUACGACACCACUUCCCUCACCAAAAUGGCUCCUCCCAACAUACUCCUGUUGCUGUUAUUACACUAUAUAUGCACGUUAUAUAUAUGUAUCUACAUUUGUGUUCACCAUAGCGAACCACUAAGCUGGUAUAAUGAGCCCAAACAAGAGUGGCUGUCACACACAGUGACGCUACCUUGAUUCACUUCUUCCUCACCAAAAUUCUCCUUCCACAAUACUAUGCACAGCGCUAAUUAUCACCACAUUACCCUAUUAUUACACCCAUACCAUCCGUACCCCCCUUUUUUUUGUUCUAGUUUUUAUCUUUCGUCUUACUGUUACCUGCUCCUCACCUCACCCCUUGCCUUACUUAUGCCUGUGCUUCCCUCACUCCCAUCACAAUUGACUUGAUAAUGAUCCAGGACAGCCAAAAACGUUGUUUUGUCUCUUCAUCUUCUAGUGUGUGGUAUGGUCAACAUUAUUCCUUAAUUGCUUAUUUCUCCAAAGUAAGCUAUUAUUCCCACAAACUUUGCUUUUGUAACUACUGGAUGCAUUGAAGUAUGAUGAGUAUGGGUGUUAGGUCAUUGUGAUGGAUCUCGGAUUUCCAAGGUGGUUUUGCAAAGUUUCCGUGCUAACUUUUGCCUUUGGAAUAGUCAGGACUCCAAGGCACAUUACAACAGAGGACCAAGUUCUCUGUGGAGAGGAAUAAUGCCAAGUGACAGCCGCUGGUGGAUCCCAAGCUGCUGCUCAGGCUUCCGCUACAUUCAAUGUUACGUUUUAUUCAUAUUUUUUUUUUUUUUUACUAACAUUAUAUGAAUGAGAAUAUGCAAAUUCGCUGUUUUUUUUUUCAUUGGAAAUAUAUAAAUUUAAAAAUAUAAUUAGCCUGGCUACAAAGUUUGAGGGGGAAUUUUAGCAAUUGUGUAUACUUUUUAGGCAUCAGCAAUAAGUAAAUAAGAUUCCCCAGGAACAAAACUUGUUACAUUGUGUAAUGAUUCUCUUGGCCAUUGCUUUAAGGAUGAGUGAGAGUUAACAUGAGCAAUGCCACUUAACCUCACUGUGACUGCUUACUGUUGUUGAGCGGUGACUACACCUUCACCUUGUAUUCCGUUAGCGUGUUAGAGGACCGACACACACAUACAUACACAAUGUUUUUACUCAUGCACAUGAUAUUCGGAAAAUCUUUGCAAAGCAGAAAAUCUUGUGGAUGUUUUAUGUACAAUUUCAAAAUCUACUAACUCAAUGAAACAUUUUCUUUCUUCUCUUCACUGUCUUGGCUACGUUCAUAAAUGAUAAAUGUCAACGUUCUGUGAUUUUCAUUUUUUUUUUGUAUUCCUUUCCCCAAACAAAGACCAUUUUAAUUACAAAAUAUAUAUAUAUUAGUUAUUUUACACACAUGUUAGAUGAAGUACAGUAUAAGAAAUUUACAGAUAUUUCUUAUGAAGUGGAGUCCUUUUAACAAUGUCGUGUGUCAAAGCUUGCUGCUCCAUGGUCAUACAUAAGCCAAUGUUCUCACGUGCGUCUACAAGGUCACUGACUGGCCCACAGCAGAGCGUCUACAAGGUCACUGACUGGCCCACAGCAGAGCGUCUACAAGGUCACUGACUGGCCCACAGCAGAGCAUCCUGGUCAGUCAAGAGUGCCACAAGUGCUCAAGAUUGCCAACAUUUCCACUACUGCCUUUAUGGACAUUUUUAAAUUCCCAACAAGGAAAUGCACCUCAUCUUUUCUUGUGACUGAGUCGCAAGCGCUUGUAUGUACUGCUAUUUCACUUGUCUUAAUAUAUAUAUAUAUAUCUAUAUAUAUAUAUAUGAAUAUGUACUAUAUGAUCUUUGUGGUGUAAAUAUUAAUUUAGCUCACUGUAAUUAUUUAAUUUGACAGCCUCAAUGAAUAAAUAUUAUUGAUCCAAA